UAUCCACACCAGAGUAUAUCCGCUCGCGGCAGCCAACUCGGACGACCUACAAAAGGAGACCCCGAACUCCCUCUCGAGCACUCACCAAUCCACAUUGACCCGAGCCUCAUGCGAAGCACCACAGAGGACAUAGAGGAGGUCUUCUUCCCCAACUCUGCCCGCCUGAUCCGCUUCGGGUCCAGCCUAAAUUGGCCCAAGGUGGUCGAUGUCCUCUGCACUAGCCACGCCCGUGGACCCCUAGUAGCUUAUCUUCUCUGAGUCGCGCAUCAAUUUGACGUGCGCAUGUCUUUGUGGUGAGAUCCUUCCUCACCCGAAGCCGACGAUCACCGGAGAGGAAGCCGUCAAUGUUGUGGUCCUCGCGGGUAAUCAAGUCCGCCACCUAUGAACACAGAAUCAUCCCCUGAGCAAGACUGUGCCAGCCCCAUCCUUAGAGUCGCUGCUACUCGCCGUCGGUGACCACCGCGAACUCUUUUUCACCGAUUUUGACGAAGGCGAUCUCAUGGAUGAAGAGUACGAUAGCAAGUCAGACUCCUAGAGGAGUCCUAGUAAGUCUUGCGAUCUUGGACUCCACCAUUGCAGUGUCCGCUUGCGCUACCUAUAAUAAAUUGUCGAGCCCCACGUUGACACCAACAUGUUGUAGAAUAUUUAGUCGUAUCAGCCACUCCAUUGUGACAUAUUUGUUGGAAAUACGCCCUAGAGGCAAUAAUAAAUUAGUUAUUCUCAUUUUC